rnacentral:rRNA from 1 species
UACGGGGGGGGGCAAGCGUUGUUCGGAAUUACUGGGCGUAAAGGGCGCGUAGGCGGCCUUCUAAGUCAGACGUGAAAUCCCUCGGCUCAACCGAGGAACUGCGUCUGAUACUGGAAGGCUUGAAUCCGGGAGAGGGAUGUGGAAUUCCAGGUGUAGCGGUGAAAUGCGUAGAUAUCGAUAGGAACUCCGGUGGCGAAGGCGGCAUACUGGACCACAUCUGACGCUGAGGCGCGAAAAGCCAGGGGGAGCGAAACGGG